GAUGAACGCUGACAGAAUGCUUAACACAUGCAAGUCUUUGGCGAAGCUGUGCUUGCACAGCCUAGCCAAGGCGGACGGGUGAGUAACGCGUAAGGAACUUGCCCUGCAGUCAGGGAUAACAGACGGAAACGACUGAUAAGACCUGGUAAAGUCAGGCGGACUCAUGUCCAGCCUGAUGAAAAGAGAUGCUGCAGGAGAGCCUUGCGUCCUAUUAGCUUGUUGGUGGGGUAACGGCCCACCAAGGCGAUGAUAGGUAGCCGGCCUGAGAGGGUGGACGGCCACAAGGGGACUGAGGUACGGCCCUUACUCCUACGGGAGGCAGCAGUGGGGAAUAUUGGACAAUGGGGGCAACCCUGAUCCAGCAAUUCUGUGUGCACGAUGAAGGUUUUCGGAUUGUAAAGUGCUUUCAGCAGGGAAGAAAAAAAUGACGGUACCUGCAGAAGAAGCGACGGCUAAAUACGUG
rnacentral:rRNA from 1 species